GGGCUAAUCUUUUUAUAAUUCAGUACAAAGACAAAUCAAUUACUUUGAAAUCCAUUGUGGUUUUCAAAGAAGCCACACGUGAAGACAUCUUGGUACAACACACAGCAAUAAAUGCAAUGGAAUAGGUUCAUAUUUAUCAGGGUACCUGAUAUUAUCUGUAAUAUUAUUUUGUUGUGGGCCAGAUGUGAGGUGCAGGAGAGGGAAGAAACACGGAGCAAUCUUCAGCUCGCUAGUGAAGAACACCAGCUGAUACGUGGACAAAGUUCGUCUGGAAGAAACAGGGAUCUUCAGCUCGCUAGAGAAGAACAUCAGCUGAUACGUGGACAAAGUUCGUCUGGAAGAAACAGGGAUCUUCAUCUCGCUAGUGAAGAACAUCAGCUGAUACGUGGACAAAGUUCGUCUGGAAGAAACAGGGAUUUUCAGCUCGCUAGAGAGGAACACCAGCUGAUACGUGGACAAAGUUCGUCUGGAAGAAACAGGGAUCUUCAUCUCGCUAGUGAAGAACACCAGCUGAUACGUGGACAAAGUUCGUCUGGAAGAAACAGGGAUCUUCAUCUCGCUAGUGAAGAACACCAGCUGAUACGUGGACAAAGUUCGUCUGGAAGAAACAGGGAUCUUCAGCUCGCUAGUGAAGAACACCAGCUGAUACGUGGACAAAGUUCGUCUGGAAGAAACAGGGAUCUUCAUCUCGCUAGUGAAGAACACCAGCUGAUACGUGGACAAAGUUCGUCUGGAAGAAACAGGGAUCUUCAUCUCGCUAGUGAAGAACACCAGCUGAUACAUGGACAAAGUUCGUCUGGAAGAAACAGGGAUCUUCAUCUCGCUAGUGAAGAACACCAGCUGAUACAUGGACAAAGUUCGUCUGGAAGAAACAGGGAUCUUCAUCUCGCUAGUGAAGAACACCAGCUGAUACAUGGACAAAGUUCGUCUGGAAGAAACAGGGAUCUUCAGCUCGCUAGUGAAGAACACCAGCUGAUACAUGGACAAAGUUCGUCUGGAAGAAACAGGGAUCUUCAGCUCGCUAGAGAGGAACACCAGCUGAUGGACAAAGUUCGUCUGGAAGAAACAGGGAUCUUCAGCUCGCUAGUGAAGAACACCAGCUGAUACGUGGACAAAGUUCGUCUGGAAGAAACGGAUCUUCAGCUCGCUAGAGAGGAACACCAGCUGAUACAUGGACAAAGUUCAUCUGGAUCAGGUUCAGGUUUACAGAAGUGCUUUAAAAUGUCCCUCAUUAGGAUGAUCUGUAGAUACCAUUAUUUUAACAACUCGG
rnacentral:lncRNA from 1 species